rnacentral:misc_RNA from 1 species
AUAUAUAUAUAUCAACCCUUCUCAUUGCUGAGUUUUUGGGUUUGGAUGUGGGGGGAUUUUUUUGCUGGACUCUUGAAAUGAGGUUCAGCUCCUCUGAAAUGCAUUAGCAGAACAACUCUGUUCAUUGGUGUGAUAAUUAUCUACACCAUUGAAUGUGAGGGGCAGUUCAGCUUUCUAACAGUCCUUGGACAAUUUUCAUUAUUUAAU